rnacentral:lncRNA from 1 species
CUGACUCAAGUCAAAAAGGCUACGAAUUAAGACUGACUCUACAAGAGAUUUCUUAACAUCUCCACUUUUUGACAUGAACCAUAAUGCUUACUUAGGCGAAGGAGCCCGGUUACUCAGUGAGAUAAUGCUAAAAUUUUUAUUUAUAUUACUUCUCUUAUUAUUAUUAUUAUUAUUAUUAUUAUUAUUAUUAUUAUAGUAAAUUCUAAGAAAAACUUUUGCAUACCUUGACCUUUCCAUCCAAUCCACAUAAAGUAGAUUUGUCCUUGAGAUCGGUAGGAAGAGGGUUUUAGAAUUACUCUAAAAAAAUUUUUGAUCUAAACUCUAUCAUUCAUUGAGUUUUUUUAAUAAUUUGCUCUUCAGUAUCUCUAAAAUUAUCUAGAUCAUUAAUCAUUCAUUAAUUAGGAUGACUAAUUAACUUUUAAUCGAGAUAAAUUUUGGGUACAUAAUGCUAAUUGUUUCAAAUCUACUUGAGGACUCACUUAAAUUUACAAUUAGUUAUUCUCCCCCCCAAACUUAUUUUUCAUUGUCCCCAAUGGAAGAAGAGAAUAAUAAAGUAGAAUAAAAUAGAAAAAGAAAUUAUAAGGAAAGAUACCACCUGAAUUUGAUGUGUUCG